rnacentral:rRNA from 1 species
CGCAUAGGUCAUGUGCAUCUUAGUUUGGGAUAGCCAUUGGAAACGAUGAUUAAUACCAGAUACUCCCUACGGGGGAAAGAUUUAUCGCUAAGAGAUCAGCCUAUGUCCUAUCAGCUUGUUGGUAAGGUAAUGGCUUACCAAGGCUAUGACGGGUAUCCGGCCUGAGAGGGUGAACGGACACACUGGAACUGAGACACGGUCCAGACUCCUACGGGAGGCAGCAGUAGGGAAUAUUGCUCAAUGGGGGAAACCCUGAAGCAGCAACGCCGCGUGGAGGAUGAAGGUUUUAGGAUUGUAAACUCCUUUUGUUAGAGAAGAUAAUGACGGUAUCUAACGAAUAAGC